rnacentral:lncRNA from 1 species
GCUAGCAUACGACUUUCAAUUUUCCGUGGAAAAAUUGUUUUACUGAUUCUUUACAUCUCAUUGCUUGUCUUGUAGAUCUUCCUGCAAACGGUAUUCGGGAUUCCUUCCUGCCUGCUAUACAGAAUCUCUUGAAAGACCCAGAUGCACUGGAUCCAGCACACAAAGAAGCCCUUGAAAUUAUUAUGAAGGAAAGAUCAGGAGGAACUUUUGAGACUAUUAGUAAGGUGAUGGGUGCUCAUAUUGGCCUUCCAUCAUCAGUCACCAGCUUCUUUGGUGAGGGUGGGUUACUCGGAAAGAAAGAAACCGCAGAGCUAUCAUCAGAAGCUACCGUGUCUCCCAAAGCCGCUUCACCAUCGCCGGUAGAAGAUACUAGAUUUAAGCGCAUAAUGAUGGGAAAUUUCAGCGAGAUGCUUCGUGGCAAGGCAAAGGCUCCAGAAGAAGGUCACAAUCAAUAAGAUGUAUUUCUGCAUGCUAAUUUACAAACAACAACGAAGAUUUGUCCCAAUAGGUAAGAUUGACCACUGUUGUUUCCUAAAUAUUAAAACAAAAUAUUUUUCAGUCUUUUCUUUAGAUAGAAGAGGAAAAUAUAGAUAAAUAUUUUACUGCAGGAUUGUCGUAUUUUUGCUGUGUAAUGAUCUAUUAUGAAUUUAUUAGGCAUGUGUCAGGAACCAGAGAGAUUUGAAUGAGCACGCUAGAUUUGUGAAUUAUUCAAUGAAUUAUCGUAUGACUGAUGUUUAAUUUUGUACUGAUAUUUUAAGGAAUGGGAGAGAAAGAACAUUCUAAGAACUCAACUGGUUCUCUCGGCGUAUUGUUUGAUGUUAAUACACAAUGUUAGAAACAAUUUCACUUUAGUUUCUUUUUGUUGAACGAAUUGUGGUUAGAAGAACUUGUGACUCAUUGCGAAGCUGAUCCUAAUGAUAAUUGCGUUUAAGUUUGAACAACUCAAUUUGGUAAUGUAAUUUGGUGUCGGUUUAGCCUCCAAAACAGCCAAGAAAGAUGGCAAGAAGAAAAUGUAACUAAAACGUUAAUUAAACAUAAACAUCAAGAUAACUUUUUUUUAGAUUGGACAGUAUUUGCAAGGAUUUACAGUAUAUUCAAGUCAAAUAUUUUGCACUAGUUUUUAAUCGUGUAAGGAUAAAAAGACUGGUAUUUUUUAUAUUAUAUACAAUUUUAAUGUAUGAUAAUUAUUAAUUCAAAAAGUUAAAACAUAUUUUCUUAUUUUUAUCUUUACAGAUAAAACUUUUGUUUAUGAUAUACUCAACAUUUAUUUUAUAAUUAUUAAAUGUUAUAAUAUAAAAAAGUUAAGGUAAAAAUAAACAAAUUAUAAGUUCUAAGGAAAAAAUAAUUUAGUUUAUAAAAAUACAACAUUGAAAACAAAUUAUAUGAAAGAAUUAAAAAAUAUAUAUAAUCACCUUAUUUAUAUUAAAUAAAAGAUAUAUUACUUAAUGAAAUUAUGUGUUUAAAAUUAUAAUUAUUUUAAUUUGAAAUAUUUUUCACUUUAAUUAUAUUAGUUAUUAUUUUUCCUUAUUUUUAGCUUUAAUCUUACACAGUUAGCAAUAUUUUUUUUUUUAAAAAAAGUUUGAAAAUAAUAGAAGUAAAACUAGAAGAAAACUUUUGUCAUUGUUAUAUUUUUAAUUAUUGAAACAUAUUCAAAUCUGGAAGUUAUUUAAAAUUGAUUCAAUAAAAAUUCAUAUAGUUUUUAGAGUAAAGUGUGAGGUAUACCAAACAACAUAUCUUUUUGGUUAUUAAAUUAAUUUCAUCCUCACUUUAUAGUGAUGCAUCCUUCAUGCAAUAUCUUUCUCUUCUACAUCAUUUUCACCUUCACCGACAACACACCAUACGGAAUCUUUGAAAUAAUUUAAUUGUGUCUUGAAUUCGAAACUCUUUAUUUUCCGUCUUUUCCAAAAUUGUUCUUCACCGUCAAACUUUCCUUUGUGCAGGGUAAGAUUCUUUAUCCAUUUUAUACAUUCUUACAUAUGUUUUCAAUUUUACUUUCCUGAGAACACAAACAACAAAAGAUAAGGGAAAUUACUUCUAUCACAUUAUUAUUUUAUUUUUUAUUCACUUCUAAAAUUUUAUAAUUUAUUCAGAAGUCAUAUUUUAUAUAUUUCUUUUGUCUUAUAAUUACGUGCAUUUAUAAUUUACUCGCUUAUUUAUCUAUACCAACUUGAAAAUGAAUUAUCAAAUACAUAACCAAUUUUUAUAACUUUUUAGAAAAAUCCUAAGGGCCCAUUCCCCUGGCAUGGCACACGUAUUCAUGCAUACAUUAAUAUGGAUUUCUAAAAUUGAAUAGCUUAGUCGGAAGCACAGUAUCUGUAACUAAUCCUCACAGCAAUGUCUAACUGCUAACCACUUCCUUGUCUUCUUCAUAAAUACACUUAUAUUUAUUAAACUAAUAUAUAUAUAUAUAUAUAUAUAUAUAUAUAUAUAUAUUUAUCUAUUUUUAUCUUAAAAUGGGAUUUCAAUUAUGUGAGUCUUUUGUGUGUGGAGAAUGUUGAUACAUGUGGGUGGAAGAAAGAAAAAAAAGAAGAAAGAGUUCAAAUCUUUAAGCUACAAUAUUGCACUCGUUUAUUCCAAUUUUUGUAUUUUCAAUCCACGAAAGACCUUCUAAUUUCAUGCAUGUUUUUAAAUAUUAUUAUCAAGCAAAAUUCAACAUAAUUUUUCUUUUAUGACAUGUAUAUAUCAAUAGCCAAAUAAGCAUGUUUAAUUAUUCAAUCAAUUUUAACAUUGUUCACAAUUAGGACCUAAUUGGAGUAUUUUAACCUAAUUUGAAACUCAAUUGAAAUAAAAACCUAAGUAAAGAUCAAUUUAAAACAUUCUAACAAUAAUUGAAAUUAAACGAUUAAUUUAAUGAAUUGAUUCUUCAUAAAAAAAAUUCAUAGUGUAUUAUCUUCAGAUAAGGAAUAAAAUAACUAAUAUCAUUUAAAUUUUCUGAUUAAUUUUUUGUUUCUCCUGGCCAUUAAUUUAAUAAACACAUUUUCAUUUGACUAGUGUCUUAAAAGUUGUUGCCUUAAAAAAUAAAAGAGAAGUUUCUAUGGUAACAUGUAAAACGAAAUACUCUUCUAUAGUUUCUAAAUAUAGUAUUAUAUAAUAAUAUAAAAGGGUGAUAAAAAUGGUAUAGAAUACAUAAAUUCUUUUGUGACAGAUGAAAAAUAAGAUAUGCUACGUUAUCAUCCAACUGUGAUGAUUUAACGGUUAGGUUUUCAAAUUAUGAAUAUCCUAUCAAGUAUAACUUUUAAUCUAAUCAUAUACGCUCCCUCUUAUUAGUAUAUCAAAGUUUGUUUCCCUGUAAAAGUUGACAUACUUCAAGAUUUAAACCACUAAAACAUUUUCUUAAAAACCAAAAUCAAAACCAAAACAUAUCAAAUUCUAUUUUAAGAAUACUAAUUUAAUAAAAUUAAGGUUUAAUAUGUCCUUAUAUUUGUUAAUUUAAUUUAAUGUGAGAUUCAUUUAUUUUAUAUUUGUUAAUUUAAUUUAAUGUGAGAUUCAUUUAUUUUAAAUUUUCAAUGUGACAACUUUUAAAUUGUUAACGGUUAAAUGUCAAUAAAUUACAUGAUGAUUAGUUGAUGUGACCAUUUAAACGAUUGAUUAAAUUUUAUAAAUAUAAAUCAUUAUGUGUUUAAAUAAUUAAAUGAGUCAAAAAUUGUCAUGUAAUUCACUUAUUACUCACGUCAACACUUAAUCAUUAACAAUUUAGAUGUUAUCAUAAAAUAUGAAAUUAAAGACUACAUUAAAUAUUUUAAACCUAAAAUUAAAAAAAAAAGAACAGUAAGAAAUUGUAAAUUUAACUCAUCCUUAACAAAAUAUUAACAUUACCGUAAAAAAAUCUAUAUACCAAACAACAUCUGAAAUAAAUAACCAUAAAAACAGUUACUUAGAAAUCCCACCUCGGAAUUACAUUAAGUAUAGAUCUGAGUGUGUGAUUUUGAUAGUACUCAUGAAACAUGUAGGGUCCAUUGCAUUGAAAUUAAGGUUAAUCUUACAGUACUCUUACACACAGAAGGCACUAGCGAAUAACACCAAAUGAAAAGAAUUUUCUUUAACAACUUUUUUUUUUAACGAAUACAUGAUAGUUUAUGAUUGAUUUGUUUCAUGAGAUUCACGAUACAUUAUGAUUGAUUUGUUUAAUGAGAUCACGAUAGUAUUCUGUUGUUAAAAAAUUGUUAAAAUGUAUCUUUAAAAUACCUACAAAUCUGCGGUGGUGUUAAUGCAAAAUAAUUGUGAGAAGUAUCAUCCCAACGCUCCUUCCAUUAAUGUUGUGGGUCAUUCCCACUCACAUCCCACCAAUAUACAAUCCAUCAUUAUUAAUUGAAACCAAACCACUUUCUCUUCUUCACUUCUUAUAUAUAUAUAUAACUCUUCCACUGCCACAUUUUUCAGUGUCAGUGUUAGUGUGUGAGUCACUCAGUUCACCAUUAACGAGUUAACUUCUCUUCUUCUGUUGUGUUCUCGUUUUAGCAAGAUGACGAUGAAAAAGUCCGUUGUGUGUGCAGUGGUGCUUGUGGCACUCCUUCUGAUCGAUGUGGGACCUCUGGCUCAGGCUGUUACUUGCUCCGCAGUCCAGUUAGCACCGUGUGCUCCGGCAAUCACUUCCGCCAGUCGACCCUCACCUGUUUGCUGUACGAAGCUGAAGGAGCAAAAACCAUGCUUAUGUGGUUACCUCAAAGACCCCAACCUUAAGCAGUAUGUCAAUUCUCCUAAUGCCAAAAAGGUCCUUAGUGCUUGUGGGGUUACCUACCCAAGUUGCUAAAUACGCACACAAAUUUAAUAACACGCUUUAAUUUAUACUCAUGCUUUGUGUGUAUAAAUUAAGCUUGCUCUACGUUUCUGUCGUAUUAUACGUUGCUGUCUUUGGAUGUGUUGUAAGAGUUCUACAGCUGAAUAUGGUGUAUACACUAUUAGUAUACAUGUUGUAUUCACCAGGGAAUCAUCUAUAUCUGUCUUCACACCUAUAAAUAAAGAACUACUGAUGUUCAGAGUGGCAUAUAUCUUCUUUUAUAUCCCCUCAUUUUCAUUCUUAAAAUAUUUAAC